AGUAUGGGCCCACCGUGGAUGAACCGGGCG
rnacentral:tRNA from 1 species